CCGUAGCCCAAGAGACUGGGAUAACACCUGGAAACAGAUGCUAAUACCGGAUAACAACACUAGACGCAUGUCUAGAGUUUAAAAGAUGGUUCUGCUAUCACUCUUGGAUGGACCUGCGGUGCAUUAGCUAGUUGGUAAGGUAACGGCUUACCAAGGCAAUGAUGCAUAGCCGAGUUGAGAGACUGAUCGGCCACAUUGGGACUGAGACACGGCCCAA
rnacentral:rRNA from 1 species